UACGUAGGGUGCGAGCGUUUGUCCGGAAUUAUUGGGCGUAAAGAGCUCGUAGGCGGUCUGUCGCGUCGGUCGUGAAAACUUGGGGCUUAACCCUGAGCUUGCGGUCGAUACGGGCAUGACUGGAGUUCGGUAGGGGAGACUGGAAUUCCUGGUGUAGCGGUGAAAUGCGCAGAUAUCAGGAGGAACACCGAUGGCGAAGGCAGGUCUCUGGGCCAUAACUGACGCUGAGAAGCGAAAGCAUGGGGAGCGAACAGG
rnacentral:rRNA from 1 species